rnacentral:lncRNA from 1 species
GGAACUGAGAGCCUUGAAACUUUUUCACCAUCACAGGCUUCCAAUCUUUUUGUAAAUAAGGUGUACCUGAGAGAACAGAGACACUGUUCUUAUAGUUGUUGUUGUCCAAGGACAGUGUGUGGUCUGUAGGCCACAGAUUUAUGAAGUAAUUCUUUUGGCUUAUGGGACAAUAGUCAUAUGGCAAGCUGAUAGGGCAGUGAGAGGCAGUGAAAGCUUGUGGCUUCUGUUUCUGUCCGUUCGCCUACUCUGCAGAAUCAGAGUGACUCCAGUGCUUGAAAUCUCACAUUUGAGAUCCUAGACCACCAUGCCAUAGUUUGAAGAAUACUGUUAAAGCUAGAAGAGGUUGUAACUAACAUCAGUGUGUUGGUUUUUGCCUGUCAAGUUGACCAAGUCAUUCAAGCUCUGCUCUCACUGACAUCAAAGAAUAAAUGUACACUGAAGUAUAAUGACUGUGUUAUA